rnacentral:lncRNA from 1 species
CAAUGAAGAGUUGAGUCCUUCAUCCAUCACACCAUUCUGACCUCUUCUGCCUUUUCUUCCACUUUUCUGGACCCUUGUGAUUACAUUGGGCCCACCUGGACAAUCCAACAUCAUCUCCCUAUUUUAAGCUCUGCUACUUAAAGUUCCUAGAUGUAAACAACAGAAGCUCUUCCAGCUAAUUUAGCAGAAAAGAAAUUUAUUAGAGCCUAUUGGGAAGCUCACAGAAUCUCCAAGAAGGCGCAAGCUCUCUCCCCUACUGGAGCACAGGUUGCAUGCUUAGCUCUGGAUCCUGAUGUCUGGCCCAGGGUCUGACAUAAUGUUUGAGACUAUUUGUUGAACAACAACAAAGAAGAAACAAAUACAGAUUCCUCUGUAUUUUAAGAAGUUUUUAAAAUCAAAAGCAAAAAGAAGACACCAACAGUCAACUGGGACCAGUGAUCUUUCUUCCUCUAGACAGGGAUUUGUU